GCGUUCGGGUAAUUGCUGCAGCGGAGCUUUUGCAAAGCUGUUGAGGAAAGUCCAUGCUCGCACAGGCUGAGAUGCCUGUAGUGUUCGUGCCUGGCGAAAUCAUAAGCCAGGGCAGCCGAGUCAUCGGCUGACGGCCGGGAAAAUACCUAAGUCCUUUGGGAUAUGGUAUGAAUACCUAUAAAAGUGCCACAGUGACGUAGCCUUUCCAGAAAUGGAAAGGGUGGAACGAGGUAAACCCCACGAGCGAGAAACCCAAAUAAUGGUAGGGGCACCUUCCUAGAGGAAUUCAACGAAGGGAAGGACAGGUUCUUUGGAGCCUGUAGAUAGAUGAUUACCACCUAUGUACGAGACUUUAUCGUCGUUUGCAGUACGCUGGUACAGAACAUGGCUUACAGAA
rnacentral:RNase_P_RNA from 1 species